GCCCGGUUAGCUCAAUCGGUAGAGCGUAAGACUCUUAAUCCUCUUCGAGGCUUAAAGCAAUCUUAAGGCUGCGGGUUCGACCCCCGCAUCGGGCU